AACGAACGCUGGCGGCGUGGAUUAGGCAUGCAAGUCGUGCGCGAAAGGUUCCUUCGGGGGCUGAGUAGAGCGGCGAACUGGUGAGUACAAGGUGACUAACCUGCCCUACGAGUGGGGGAUAACCCCGGGAAACCGGGGCUAUACCGCAUGGUCUCGCGGGUCUUCGGAUCGGCGAGUAAAGCAGUAAUGCGCUCGAGGAUGGGGU
rnacentral:rRNA from 1 species